CCUUGCCGAGAUGGCCGUUUGGGCGGGGUCGGACGCCUUGGCCUGGGCCUUCACGGGGUCGGCGGGGCUGCCAGUGCCUUUCCCUCGCAGAGUCCUUGGUGGUCAUCGAGAACCCUGGAGCCCCUGCGGCAUUUCCCAGAGACGUGGAGGCGGUGGGCGCCAGGUGGCCCUGGGCGGUGCCGAGUCGGCCGCGGACUGGGGUCGAGAGAAGUGCAGGAGGGCCAGAGGUCCUGGGCCAGUGUGCGCAGAGCACCGUGAGGGGGAGUGUUGGGUGCCCGGGGCGGCAGUGCCUUCAGGGCGGCCUGGGCUAUGAUGUGGGAUAUCCUCAGAGAUUUGGGCGGCGCGUGGAAGGCAGGACGGAGGGGUCCCGGGCACGUGAAUGGGAGCUGGGUGCCUGUGCCCUGGCCGGUCAUGGGUGCCGGCGGGGCAGAGAAGUGUGAGCCCGCGGCCAGCUCCCGGGGCCGCUAAGGUGUCCACACACGGGGCUGGGCAUUGAGGCCGUGCGGCGCCCCUGCCCUGGCUGAGGCCGUGUUCCCGGGGAGGGAGGACAGGGAGUUGCGCAGUGGGAGGCAGUGUGAGGUUGAUACCCAGCAGAGCUAGCCACGCCUGCGGACUGGAGCCCAGCCGAGCUGGUGCCGGGCGGGAGCUGGUGGCAAGGAGGGAGUCUGCUGUGGAGGAAAGGGGGCAGGUGGCGGCGGAAGGGGCGUGAGGGCGUGAGUUUCGGUGCGAGGGUCCCGCUGGGCCCAGGGUCUAGUGCGUCUCCCGUGGAGAUGCUGGUGCUGGAGUUAGGGAGGCCUGGGUGUGCAUGGGUGUGGCACGCAAAGGAGAGGGUCCCAUGGGGCCCGGCGGGCCUUCCGGUGCUGGCGGCGGGGCUGUGGCGUGUGCCUUGCGUGGGGCCCGAGCGCCCAACUGGUGGCAGGCUCCGGGCGCCCGGCGGCAGGCGGUCUGUGCGGGUUGCGUUGUGUCCGGUGGACAGGCGGCAGCCGUGGGGCGGGGUUUGGGGCAGGCAGGCCUCCGGUGUCCCCAGAGUGCCCCGGGGAGACCUGCCUGAGGGACCCAGGUCCCGCGCGCCAGGGGGCCUGGUGUGGCGGGCCUGGAGGGUGAAGGGCGAGCGACCCGAGCCCACAGCCUGGCGGCAGGGGACGCCCCUGGCCAUUGGCGGUCAGGGCGAGGUGCGGCCCUGCGGGUCUCGCCCAGGCUCCAGGGCCCUUGGGGUCCCGGAGGGUCGAGCAGAAGGGUCUGUGUUUUGCCCGGGGUCUCGCCCAGGCUCCAGGGCCCUUGGGGUCCCGGAGGGUCGAGCAGAAGGGUCUGUGUUUUGCCCGGGGUCCUGAGAGCGUGCUGGGGAUAGCAGGGGUGGAGUGCAGGUGUGCCCAUGGGCGCCCCGGGUCCAGGGCCCGCGGAGCCGCUCUCGGGGCGGAGACCUUGCCCCCAGGGGCACGUCAGCGGUCCUGAGCUGAGGCUCCUGCAGAGCACUCUGGGCCGCGUGUGUCUCUCCCUGCGUGGGCAGGCAGUGUCGGUGGCCGGAGCGAGGGUGUUUUCCCAUCGGGUGAGAGGGAGAGCCCCAGGGUGGGCCUGGGGGCGGAAUCGGACUCGGGGUUGGGGUGGACUCUUCUGAAGCUGGGAGGGGUGCGGGUGGGCAGGGCCUUAGGGAGCCUGAGGGAGGCGCGGUUCCUGGGG
ensembl:lncRNA